GAAACCUAUGCUGUGUCAAAUAUUUAAUCACAAUCCAAAUGCAAAGCUGUAUCAAGCUUGAAUGUUGUGUCCAUACUUGCCCCAACUGUUCAGGGUUCGACCUCUGCGGUCGUAUCAAGCUGCGCCCUGCGGAGCAUUUUAUUGUAAGUUACUAUUUAAAAAUGCUGAUUAAGGAAUAUUAAUUUUAGACAUGAUUAUGUAUGUCAUUUUCUAUUUUAAGACUUUUAUGAUGUAUUUAAAUGAGUAAUUAUGGUUGCAAACUCCAUUGGAAAUUUGAAUUGAGAUUAUGACCAUAUCUUGAGGGAAAGAAUUUUUUUUUU